GGUACGCCAGCCGGUGGAUAACUCGGCUUGGGCGCCGACGAAGGGCGUGGCAAGCUGCGAUAAGCCCCGGGUAGCCGCAUGCAGGCGUCGAUCCGGGGAUGCCCUAAUGGGAUUUCCUGCAGCCGGUCGCGCAAGCGGCUGGCUGCGUACCGCGUUAUGCGGUACGGGAACCCCCCGAACGGAAACAUCCAAGUAGGGGGAGGAAAAGAAACCAAAAUGGGAUUCCCUGAGUAACGGCGAGUGAAAGGGGAACAGCCCAAACCGAAUCCCUACGGGUGACCGUAGGGAGAUGUAGGGUUAUGGACCGGUCGCCCGCUUAGCCCGCAGAGCCGAAGCGACCUGGAAAGGUCCGCCAUAGAGGGUGAAAGCCCCGUAGGCGAAGGCGGGCUAAGGGAAGGACCGGUAUCCAGAGUACCGUACCUCGGAUAUGGUGCGGGAAGUUGGGAGCCAUCGGCUUCCAAGGCUAAAUACGUCCCAAGACCGAUAGCGCACCAGUACCGUGAGGGAAAGUUGAAAAGAACCCCGGGAGGGGUGUGAAAAGCGCUUGAAACCGGCUGGUAACAGACGAGUGCGGCCUGAAAGGGCAAUCCACCCGAAGGCUUCCUUCUGGGAGCCGAGGGUGGAUACCAGGGUCGCACGCUCCGUCUUGAAACACGGGCCGGGGAGUUCAUGGCCAUGGCGAGCUUAAGCGCUCACCAAGGCGCGUAGGCGUGGGGAAACCGACAUGCCCGCAACCAGGGUUUUCCCUGGUGAGGGGCGGGGUCCGAAAGGGCCUGGAGUCAUGGCCAUGAGACUAGAAACCGGGCGAUCUAGCCCUGGGUAGGGUGAAGCCGGGCGAAAGCCCGGUCGAGGCCCGAAGGGGUCUUGACGUGCAAUUCGGUCCUCUGACCCGGGGCUAGGGGCGAAAAACCAAUCUAGCCCGGUGAUAGCUAGUUCCCUCCGAAGUGAGUCGCAGCUCAGCCUCCGGCGAGGUAGCCCAGGGGGUAGAGCACCGAUAGGGGGGUAAGGGCUCGAAAGGGCCCGCCUUCCUUUCGAACUCCGAAUACCUGGGCGCCGUAGACCCGGGGAGUGGGGCAUGGGGGGUAAGCUCCCAUGCCGAGAGGGGAACAACCCAGACCUAGGGUUAAGGCCCCUAAGUGCCCGCUAAGUGACAAACCAAAGGGCGUCUCCAGCCUAAGACAGCGGGGCCGUAGGCUUAGAAGCAGCCAUCGGCUAAGAAGUGCGUAACAGCUUACCCGCCGAGGCUGGGGGCCCCGAAAAUUGACGGGUCUAAGCGGGCCGCCGAAACCCUGGUCCACCAAGCGUGUGCUUGGUGGAGGUAGGAGGGCGUGACGGUUGGGCAGAAGCCGGGCCGUGAGGUCCGGUGGACCGACCGUCAAUGUAGAUCCCGGUGGUAGUAACAGCGAAGAGGGGUGAGAAUCCCCUCCGCCGAAGGGGCAAGGGUCUCCUGGCAAUGCGUCGUCAGCCAGGAGUAAGCCGGUCCUAAGGCCGACCUUAACCGGGUAGGCCGAAAGGGAAACCGGUUAAGAUUCCGGUGCCUCCGGGAUACGUGCGGCGACGCAAGCCCAGCCUCCGACGCUUCGGGGUAGGCCGAGCCGGGCCGUAGCCCGGUCUAACCGUAUAAGCCUGGGGAGUGCCGUAAAGGCGAGAACCAGGUGAAAGCGGGAAUGGCCGCCCGUAUGGGCGGUUCGGCUGAUCCCUGGAGCCCGUGAAAAGGGGGCUGGGAAGGAUUCCCGGAGACCGUGCCAAGAACCGACACAGGUGCCCCUAGGUGAGAAGCCUAAGGCGUAUCGGGUCACUCCGGGGUGAGGGAACUCGGCAAAUUGGCCCCGUACCUUUGGUAGAAGGGGUGCCUGCGGCCCUGGUGGAGACACUGGGGCCGCAGGUCGCAGUGACCAGGGGGUCCCGACUGUUUAAUAAACGGACAAAGGCACCGGCCAAAUCUUUAAAUAUUAUAUCUAUAGAAAGUUUAUGAGGUGUACAUCGACCCAUACAUUGUCGGUAUCUUCUUUGGAGAUGGAGUUACAUAUAAAACCAAACACGGUGCAUACUGCGUUUGGAUAGACCAAAAAGACAAAAAUAAGGGCAUUCUAGAAAGCGAGGUUAUUCCAAGGCUUAAAAAGAUGGGCCUCAAAGUAUACUUUUAUAGCUAUUACGCAAAAGCUGACCGCACUUUGAAGUGGCGUGUCUUAACGUACUCAAAAGAAUUGUACAUGGCAAUUCGUAGCAUCUCCAGAAGGAUAGCAGAAUACUUCAGUACUCUUUCGGAUAAAGAUGCAACGCAGUUUAUCGCAGGCUUCUUCGACGCUGAAGGCACGAAAACGGACAGGAUUGUAAUAUACAAUCAAAACCUUGAACUUCUUAAGAUAGUAAAGCAGAGGUUGAUAAACUUAAGCAUUCAAAAUCCUCACAUCUACAGAUUUGGGUCGAUUUAUGGAUUACAAAUAUACUGUAAAAGAUCUGUGAAAAAAUUUCUAGAGUUAAUCCCUUCUUGUAGGCUAAAGGUGCGCUUGUCCGGUUAAAAAACAUAGGAAGCCGCAAGACCGAAAGGUUUUGAACGGCUUCUGAAUCCUGGCCAGUGGGGGUACCUGAAACCCGGGUCCAACCGGGCUAAGGGCCCCUAAACGCCGGGAGUAACUCUGACUCUCUUAACGGGACCUCCCCACCCCUUAGAGACAUAUUUUAAAUAAAGGUGAUCGAUCGUUAGCUAUGACUGGCGAGCUUGAGAAAGGCUACGUAAGUGGUUUAAUUGACGCCGAAGCCAGCUUUUCAGUAAGCGUAAAGGUUCAAAACAAUUUACGUUGCAAGGUUCGCGUCGAUCCAGUUUUCAGUAUAACACAAAUGAGCAGAAAACCGUUAGAAAUUGCUCAGAGGGUCCUUGGUUGCGGCAGGAUAAUACGAAAACCCGGUCAAACACAUCUAUGGAUGCUCGUUGUGGACCGUUUAGAUGAUCUCUCUCAAAGAUUGAUUCCGGCCCUAAACGAACUUAAAUUAAUAUCU
rnacentral:rRNA from 1 species